UACGGAGGGGGCUAGCGUUGUUCGGAAUUACUGGGCGUAAAGCGCGCGUAGGUGGCUUCGUAAGUCCGUUGUGAAAGUCAAAGGCUCAACCUUUGAAUGCCGAUGGAUACUGCGAAGCUAGAGUACGGAAGAGGCGAGUGGAAUUCCUGGUGUAGCGGUGGAAUGCGCAGAUAUCAGGAGGAACACCAAUAGCGAAGGCAGCUCGCUGGGACGUUACUGACACUAAGGCGCGAAAGCGUGGGGAGCGAACAGG
rnacentral:rRNA from 1 species